ACUGAAAGAGGGGGAAGUUAGGUUGGGUGUGUGGAAGAAAUGCUUUUAUAUGAGAGUGAUGAGCAGGUUGCCCAGGGAGGUUUGGAUGCCCCAGCCCUGGCGAUGUUCAAAGCCCGGCUGGAUGAGCUUUGCACAAGCUGGUCUAGUGGAAGGUGUCCCAUUCCAUGGCAGGGGUGUUUGGAACAGGAUGGUCUCUAAGGUCCCUUCCAACCCUGAUCUUAUGAUUCUGCAUUUGGGAGUUUGUAAAAAAGGAAAAUGCUUAACAAAGUCGCAUCCUGGUGUUGCACAGGUUGGUCACUGGAAGGUUUCAGACCUGCUGACAGUCUUGUCUCUUGUAGUCACUGCAUGCAUGGGCAUGGAAAAAGAGGGGAAAUCUACAGCAGUUUUGCUGUAGAUCUCACAGGAAUGUUGAGAGUUGGGGCACAUUUGUCACGACACACAGUGGGAAUUUUAAGGGUCCCCAUCUCUGCCCUGUGGUCUCUCUCUGCUAACCCUCCUGUGUGGUGGAAGGCAAACUCAAAUCCUGAGCCAAGCCUCUGGUCAAAAGUCAUGAGAUGAGUGAAAUCUUGGUCUUUAAAAAUAGCAUCUUGAAAUAAUAUGUUUUAUGUUAUUUGGUUUAGAGCCUAGAAUUUUUAUCUUUGGUAUGCUCGAACUUUUCUCCAAAACCCAAAGGGAAAUAACAAAACUCUUUUUUCCGCAUUGAAAGCUGAGGUUAAUAUCUAAACAUCUUCCCCUUCAGAAGCUGAGGUUUUAGGAGUACUGGCUUAGGUUAAACGAGUAAGUUUGAACAACAGUGCUUUGUUUUGAGUGGAACUUUGGAACCACAGGCCCGAGACCAGUGGAGAACUCCAUGGAGGGACAAAAUGCAUGAAAGGAGUGACACCAGAGAAGGACGUGAGACCUCAUGGAGGUCUGGCCAGCUGAAGUAGAUACCUUGGCCCUGUUCAGAGGCUGCACAAGAUGUUUGGCUGAUAACAGCUAAAGCACUCUUACAUCAGAGGGAGAGGUUGGAAAGGGCUUUGUCCCUGACCUCUGCCCAGAUGUCAUCACUGCAUCCAUAAUUCAAAGACUUGGGUAAAGAUGAUAGGAACAGUUGCAGAGGGCAGCACAGACCCUGUGAAGGCACCUAAAAGUGAACUUUAAAGAUCAAGACUAGAUUUCCAGGAAGGUGUGUAUACUUUCCCUUUUCUUCUACGUCAAAUUUGAGGUUACUGGAAAUAAACCAACUAACAACAAAGAACAAAAGAAGAAAGAAUAAUUUAGAACAAUCACAUUUUCCACAGAACCAGCUGAAUAAAUGCUCAAACAGGCACCUGGAUAUGCUUGCCACUUCCAGAAAAUGAGAUAAGGAUGAAAGAUAAGCACCUUCCUUAAACAGCAUUUUUAGAAAUCAUUCAGCAGAUAGCAAGCAAAUUACACUGGUGUGAGAUUCUUCAUCACUUCCUGCAGAGGAGGAUGGUCAGUAUUUUGGUGGAGGAGUGGAAUAUGGAGAGCCAAAACCUGGCUGGAGUUGCAACUGAAGGACGUGAAGGGCAACAUAAAGAAUAUGUGGGCCUGCUGCAGGACUGGGUGAUUAAACUGGCCAUAAAGGUCAAGGAAAAGAAGAGACCUCUUUCAUCUUAGGCUUUGCUGGGAAAAAAACCUUUCCCAUCUCCCAAGCUCCUGUGGCUGGUAGCAGGGUUUGGGCAGAGGAGGGAAAUUCCCCACAGAACAUCCACUCUGUCAGAGUGGGCAUAUACAAGUCCACUGGACCAGAUGACCAACACUCAUUUGAGUGUUGAGAGCUGGCCAGUUUAUUUUUGUGCUCACACCCUGUGACAUUGGAAAGUCCAUGGCAUUAAAAGACUGCAGGUGACUGAACAAAGGCUAAUGUUACAUGUUUUAGUUCAGUUGUGUCUCACCCAGUGUCACUGACUUUGGGCUUAGUGAGCACGGGGAAAGCAGAGGAUGUCAUUCAAGCUUGUCUUUGUGAGGGACUUCCUCAAUAACCUUAUAACUGGGGAGAUGUGGGUGAGCUGGGCAGAGCCUGGGUGUGGAAAACUGGCUGUACCCCCAGGCUUGAAGGUUGUGUGUCAUUGGUUUGAAGUCCUGUCUGAUGCCCCGUUAGGAGGGGUCAGGGAUCAGUACUGGGGCGAGUCUUGUUUGACAAGGUCACCGUGCAGGGGGUGGUACAGAGUGCACCCUCAGCAAGUUUUCAGCUGCUCCCCUUGCCAAGCUGGGGAUACACAGGAGGCCACCAGUCAGAGCAGGCUUGCCAAGCUGCAGGAGUGGGCCAGUGAGAGCCUUGAGUUGGUCAACAGAGACAAGGGCAAAGUCCUGAAUGUGGGACAGACUACAGGAUGCUACAGGCUGAGAACCAGCUGGCUUGGAAGCAGCCCAGCAGAAAAGGGCCUGGCCAUCCUGGUGGACAAAAGAAGUUCCUCAUGGGAUUUCAACACCUGCAGGGCUGCAUUCUCCAUAUAGCCAGCAGAUAGGAGCUCUGUGUGCAGCACUGGUGAGGCCACACUGCAUACACACUGUCAAGUUUGGGAACAGCCAGUUCAGCUGAGGCUGUAAGGGGCUGAAGCACAUGCUGUGUGAGGAAGUGGGUUUGGCCACAGCAGGAUCUAAUUACAAUGUGCACCUUCCCAAAGAGAAUUAUAGGGAAGAUGGCACAAGGCUUCUCUCUGAGACAGUCACCAACAGGAUGACAGAUAAAAGUGAGAAGCUGCACCCAGAGAUAUUCCAGUUGUGUGUAAGAAAACAAAAGUUCAAAGUGAGAGUGGUCAAGUAGCAGAACAUUUUCCCUGAGUGGCUGUGGAUUUUUCCAUCCUUGGAAACAAAACUAGAGAGGAAAAGACUUUGAGCAACCUAGUUUAUCAUUGAAGAUAGCUGUGGAGAGAGCAGGAGGUUGAAACAGUGACCUUGCCCAGCUUUAAUUAUGCUGUGAUUAUAAAUAUACGUUCUACAAGACUGUCCUUGUGUUGGUGGGGAACAGUAUUGGUGACUGGAUAAUUGUCAUGUCUCAGGGGUUACUGAUAUUACAUCCCAAAGCUUCAGUACAGCCAUCAUGUUGCUUUGUAGCUGAGCUUGCAUAGUGAGGAUAAGGGCAGUAAUGUUAUUGUUGCAACCUAAUUAAAUAUUAGGUAAUCACACAGUGUCUUCUGUCCACCAAAUUCAUGUGCAUACACUGAUGUUGACCUCUGAACUCUCCUGGGUAAGCACAGCGUGCUGUGGUCACAAAAAUAAAUGUCACAAAGUGCCAGGGAUCCCAUGUGGUACAGAAUGUCCUGUUUAACACAGGGUGUGUUGUAUCAUUGCAUGGUCAGUGCAGUUUCUCAUAGGAAGAGCAUACAUGGCAUGGAUUUCUCUAUAUUUCCAUUGCCAUAGGUGUCUUUCUGGAUGUGCAGAAUGUAUUGGGAGAGCUCAGACUUUUCUGUAAGAUAAAAUAUGCAUGUGCAAGGGGUGUGCUGCCAGAUUGGUACUUAGUUUGGAACUUCUCUGAGCAAGACAAUAGUGCAUAUGCUGUGAACCUGACAUGUCAGACUUGCAUUGCAUGCAGGAUUUAUCUGUCUGGGACUAUUCUAGAUAUCACCUUGCAGAAUCUGUGUAUGUGUCCUCUGAUGGAUCAGGCUUUUUCAGAUCUAUUUAGAAGCCAGGUGUGGCCAGGAUUUGAAAAGACAGUAGGCCACCAUGUCAGUGCUGCAAUGGAUUGCACUGGACAGAAUAACAGCGUGCUUGGAUUUUCUCCUUUUUUUCUCCAGAUCUUAUUAGAUGUAAAUGCUCGCUCUAACACUUAUGAAAUCCCCUUCUGACCACUGUGUGCAGCAGGAGCUGGCAGAUAUUCCACAGAAAAGCCAAUCACUGAUUUUAUUCCAUGGAGGAUUCCAAGCUUCUUGUUUCUUGUGGUCUGUGUUCUUUAAUAUCAGUGUGUUGAUUUCAUGUCCAGGUCUCAGAUGGGUUUUCAGUGUUUUUACGUGAGAUUAGAUUUGUCCUGCUGUUGUUGCAGUUAUUUUACUUUUCCUACUUGAGGGCUGCUCCCUGCCUUUUAUUUUGUGCUUGCUCUCAAGGUAAUUGUUAUUUCAGGCUUGUUAAUUGUGUCUGCCAACUCCCACAUAGCUCCUAGAGCCUAACCCUGAGUGGGGUGGCACACCACCUUCUAUUGCCUAUCCUUGGAAUCAGGACCUGUCUCUCCCAGAAUGAUAUGUACACUUGGCCUUUCUCUAGGCAACUGCAAUAAGCUCUCACACCUGGAACUAAACAUUCAAGACCAGGCAUGCACACUGUAGUAUCUCAUAUCCACUCUGGAAUGGGCAGAGGGGAAACUAUUACGUAAUCACCAGAAGAUUACAUCUUAACAUUAGGCUUGUGAAUAGCUCCUUGGAGCCCUGGGAUUACUUGCUAAUUUUUUCCCCUUCUUAAUCAAAAAUAUAUGGUGUUCCAAGUCCGUGUUUAAAAAAGCAAGUGAACCAGACCCUCCCUAUCCUGGGCAAGAGAUGAAAAGCUAGUGUCACAAGAAUGUCAUUGCACUAUUUAAGUGCCCCUUAUUUUAAUGGAAAUAAUUAGUUUUUCUUGUAACUGUAACUUUACUUAAAAUACAACUUCCUGUACAAGCUCCUCCUCCCUUGUUGGUCAGUAGUAUUUAUAUCAGAAAUAAAGAGCCACAAAAUUAGACAAAAACAUUCCUUUUUGUGGCUCCAUAGAUUUAUGUAGUAAAAAGUCUUCACCACUUCAUCUAAUAUUUUCUGGUACAUCAGCUCUGGCUCUUACUCUCAGACUUAAGACCUCAGGAAGUUUCAAAUACCUGCUCUGAUAAAGAACUCAAGGCAUCAGCACUAGUCCAGCACAAAAAUACUUUUUCUGCAUGCUUGAAAGAGGGUGUGUUCCAGAACUAGACUGGCCUGAGAUGCAGGAGUGGGCAAGAGCAUUGCAUGGUACUGGAGACUGAUCACUCAGGCUUUCAGGAGGAUGCUCAUGCAAGACACAAGUUCUGUCUGAGGCUAACACCAGACAGUAAGAUGUUAAAUCCAUGUGAUCCAAUAACUUUUAAACAUCAAAUUUUGAUUUCCAGAAGAGUUUCUUCAGAUCCUUUUCCAAAGGCUCUUAGUAUCAGAGAGUUUAUUUUUUUUUGUCUUUGUCUAGUGUAUUUGGGUCUUUUGUACUAAACCAACUUGAUUUCUCCAAUUGAAAGUGUAACAUUCACCAAAUUUUCUAUAACACUUGGGGGUUUUCUGAAGAGGGUACAAUCUGUGGAAUGUAGGCAGAGAUAAUUUUUUACUGAGAUGUAUUUGGAGCAACUAAUAUACCUUAUUUGAAUCUUUGCCUCAUAAAUUGUGUAAUAAUUUCAAAUACAUGCAGAUUAAACCUUUAUGCUUUUGUGUCUUCUCUCUUAGAGAAGAGUGCCAAGAGGGUUUCUGAAGCAUGGUGUGGUAGGUAGGAUUUACUGACAUGAAUUUGGCUGCAUUACUCAUCACCAGUUGGACUAAUGGGCAGGACACCCUACAUAUUGUCAUUCCUAUUUUUAUCCAGCAGGACACAUUGAUACAAUAGACACAACUACAUCUGUAGAAUUUCCAAGGCAGUUCCUCAUUUUCUAUAAAUACCAACACCUUCUUUGUCAGUAACUCCGAUUUAAUGGCGCUUCUUCUGAGUGAGGAGUGUGUCCUGCUGGAUGCUGGCAGUGCUGGGAGGCAUGGUGGGAAGUAGUUCCAGCUGGAAGGAGGAAAGGGGAGUUUUGUAAAAUUAGCAUCAAAGGCUGGGUCUUUUAAAUAUUUCAGUGCAUGCAUAGACAUACUUCUGUGGGCAGCACUGUUUACUGCGUUUUCACAGUUGGAACCUAGUUUUAUAGAUUAUAACAAAUCUGUCACCUUGGAGUAACUAAUUAUAUUGCACACCAUGGCCUUUCAAAACCUCACAAAUGCAUCCUGAAAUGAGCUCAAGCUUUCUGUCCUGAAAGACAAAGACUCCUCUCCCUGAAGCUAAAAGAAUACCCAUGUGUUGUUAGGAGUCCCCUGCCAAGGAUGUGCCGUGCCAAAGACACAGCUGAACAGAACUAAUUUCAUUUUGCCAGGAGCAUUGACACAAAUGCAAAGUAGGUAGCUUGAUAAAUCUGCUUUGCUGUUAUUGUAACAACAGUGUGAGCAGGAAAACCUUGAUAGAACUUUCUUUUUGAAAAGCAUAGUUCAUGGCAUUAAUCUAGCCUGACUUUGUACAUCUCUAAGUUAAGCAGUUGGCCUAGCUAUUUUCCUGGGCUUCCUCUGGAGAGGUGGAGGCAGCCACAAAGGUGAUUCAUCCCAGAUCCUUAUCAUAGGAUGGGAUGUGUUGCUUUCUGGUGUCUUGCAGUGACACUGUGGGAGCCUAGCCCAGCCACAUUAGAGCACAUCACUAACUUGUAGGUGAGUAGAGUUAAAAGAGCUGAAUCCUGGCCUACAUUCUACCACUGUGAUUGUACAUUUGGAAAUUCAAAGUGUCACACUGGCUGAGAGAUGUCAGCAUGCCACUGACAGCUGCAGUGAGCUGUGGCAGUGGAGCACUCACUCCUGUGUUACUGGAGGGCCAGCCUGUGGCUCGUGGAUUGUGGAGCUGUGCCAUCACAUCCCUUCUUGGUGAUCUGUCAUCAUCUGUCCUCAAGGUCAUAAUGGCUCCUAAACCCAGCUGUGGGUGGAAACCAGCCAGCCAGGGAUGUUCAGGCCAGUGCUGACAGGACACCUGAAGAAGCAGAAGGUCUCCAGGGAUGUUAGCAGGAAGGAUCCAGGAUGACCUUUGGGGAUCUCUGAGGGUCUAGACCUACCACAUUUUAUCUUGAAGCUGCUCCCAGGGCUCUCCAGACUCUUGAUUCUUCAGGUUAUGCAUCUUGUGACCCUUGGGCCUAAAGAAAGCCUAUGUGCAGUUCAUUAGAUAGUAGUCACUGAUGCUUAAUUUUAAAAAUAUGCACACCAUUAAAAUUAUUAUGGAAAUAAUGAUCAGAUGAAGAAAAAGCAAGGUGAAAGCUUAAAAACUUUUCCUGAUUAAGUGCAGUAAGCAUUCUGUGUAUACAGAACUGCCAGAAGUUUCUCUCCUCACCAUCUCUCAUCCUGUGUAAAAAUAAGGAAGAAAUACAAGUAAUCCAUCUUGAAAAUAAAGCCUUUUCAACAGAACUCUAAAA